ACAACACAAACCUCAUCUAUCCUAAUAGAAAAGCAGCUGGGAAGAAAAUACUUACCUCUGCUCCAGGGAGAGAGAAAAAUGACACAAAUCUUGUGUGAUCUACAGAAGAACAAAUCACUGUAGAAGAUCCUGAGUCAAGUACAUAUAAAGUUUAUUUCUUAGGCUCAGCUGGAGACUCUAAGAGGUGGUAGAGAAUUUUUUCCUGCUAAGAAGAUGCCUUGAAAAAUAUAAAUGUUAUAAAGCCAAAAUGAGUUAUGAAGUUGAACCACUUGGAACUGCCAUUUUUCCAGGAGGACUCCAAGGAGCCCCAUGUGUGAGCGACUAUGAAACAGAACCUACAGGUAAGGAUAGAAAGAGAAGAAUGAGACUGAAGUUUUAGAAGGAACCAAAAGUUGAAACCAAGUCAUGGCACUGAAGCUCCAAG
rnacentral:lncRNA from 1 species